rnacentral:rRNA from 1 species
GAUGAACGCUGGCGGCGUGCCUAAUACAUGCAAGUCGAGCGAACAGACGAUGAGGUUGCUACACGGACGUUGACGGCGGACGUGUGAGUAGCAUGAGGAUAACCCACCUAUAGGACUGGGAUAGCUUCGGGAAACCGGAGCUAAUACCGUGUACUAUAUUCAACCGCAUGGUUGAAUAGUGACAGACGGUUUUGCUGUCACUGAUAGCUGGAUCCGCGCCGGUUUAGCUGAUUGGUAAGGUAACGGCUUCCUAAGGCGACGAUGGGUAGCCGACCUGAGAGGGGGAACGGCCACAGUGGAAGUGAGACACGGUCCAGACUCCGACGGGCGGCAGCAGCAGGGAAGCGACCGAAAUGGGCGAAAGCUUGACGGAGGAACGCCGCGUGAGUGAUGAAGGUCUUCGGAUCGUAAAACGGUGUUAGUAGGGAAGAACAAUUGUGUAAGUAACUAUGCACGUCUUGACGGUACCUAAUCAGAAAGCAACGGCUAACUACGUG